UUAAUUAGUGCUGCAGAGAUCUAGGGGAGGCCUUUAUCUGAAGAGCAGUUCAACCAUUAGCAAAGGAAACUUCCUUGUGCACCAGCGGCUCAGAUAACAAAGUUGGCUACCUUGUUGCCCCAGGGCACCUGUCUUGGGGAUAACCAAGAAUGUGGAUGGUGAUGGCCAUGGCGCAAGACUCAGCUUCAGUGGGGGCUGCUCCCAGGAUGUCGGGCUCACGGACCCCUCUCAUUGAUGCCAGUCUCAGGUGGCUCUAUCCCUGGAAACACACUAAAUCAUGUCACUGGAGACAAGACGUAGCCCCAUUUUCCAUCUUUUAGUCCCAGUCUCAACCUCUGGUUUAUUCUCCUGAGAAUCAAUAAUGAUACAGAAGCAGAGCAGGGGAGUGGAAAUGAAAUUUCUCAAUUUGGGACACAAUCCUGCUCUCAGUUAUUGAUACAGAAAUUGACACAUAAAAAGUGAAGGGUAAUUCAGACCAACAUUAUCAUAUCUGCUAAAACUUCUAAGUGUCCAAUUAUUGAUUGUGAAAAUCAUGUAUUUGCACC
rnacentral:lncRNA from 1 species